AGAGUUUGAUCCUGGCUCAGGAUGAACGCUAGCGGCAGGCUUAAUACAUGCAAGUCGAGGGGGAUUAGUUUUGUAGCAAUACGAGACUAUGAGACCGGCAAACGGGUGAGGAACACGUACACAACCUUCCUUUAAGUGGGGCAUAGCCCAGGGAAACUUGGAUUAAUACCCCGUAACAUUAUGAAGUGGCAUCACUUUAUAAUUAUAGCUCCGGCGCUUAAUGAUGGGUGUGCGUCUGAUUAGGUAGUUGGCGGAGUAACAGCCCACCAAGCCUACGAUCAGUAACUGGUGUGAGAGCACGACCAGUCACACGGGCACUGAGACACGGGCCCGACUCCUACGGGAGGCAGCAGUAAGGAAUAUUGGGCAAUGGACGCAAGUCUGACCCAGCCAUGCCGCGUGGAGGAUGAAGGUCCUCUGGAUUGUAAACUUCUUUUAUUUGGGAAGAAAUUCUCGCAUUUCUGCGGGAUUGACGGUACCAGAUGAAUAAGCACCGGCUAACUCCGUGCCAGCAGCCGCGGUAAUACGGAGGGUGCAAGCGUUAUCCGGAUUCACUGGGUCUAAAGGGUGCGUAGGCGGACAAGUAAGUCAGUGGUGAAAUCUCCGGGCUUAACCCGGAAACUGCCAUUGAUACUAUUUGUCUUGAAUACCCUGGAGGUGAGCGGAAUAUGUCAUGUAGCGGUGAAAUGCUUAGAUAUGACAUAGAACACCCAUUGCGAAGGCAGCUCACUACGGGAAUAUUGACGCUGAGGCACGAAAGCGUGGGGAUCAAACAGGAUUAGAUACCCCGGUAGU
rnacentral:rRNA from 1 species